rnacentral:rRNA from 1 species
CCUACGGGAGGCAGCAGUGAGGAAUAUUGGUCAAUGGACGAGAGUCUGAACCAGCCAAGUAGCGUGAAGGAUGACUGCCCUAUGGGUUGUAAACUUCUUUUAUAUGGGAAUAAAAUGUUCCACGUGUGGGAUUUUGUAUGUACCAUAUGAAUAAGGAUCGGCUAACUCCGUGCCAGCAGCCGCGGUAAUACGGUGGAUCCGAGCGUUAUCCGGAUUUAUUGGGUUUAACGGGCGCGUAGGUGGAUUGUUAAGUCAGUUGUGAAAGUUUGCGGCUCAACCGUAAAAUUGCAGUUGAAACUGGCAGUCUUGAGUACAGUAGAGGUGGGUGGAAUUCGUGGUGUAGCGGUGAAAUGCUUAGAUAUCACGAAGAACACCGAUGGCGAAGGCAGUUCACUGGACUGCAACUGACACUGAGGCGCGAAAGUGUGGGUAUCAAACAGGAUUAGAUACCCGAGUAGUC